rnacentral:lncRNA from 10 species
CAGAAAGUCAGAGGGAAAUCUCAGGAUCUUCUCAGGCCUUUUCUGAGCAUUCAUUUUGUGUUAGGUCUUGCUUGACUCAUCUCUGCUGUGGUGACCUUGGAGGCUUCAUAUUCCAGAUUGCACAGCCAUAAGAUGAAAGAAGACUUCUCACUCACAUUAGACUCUGAGAGCUAUGUAUACUUUUCUAAUGAAUCUCUAGUCAAAAAAUGUUUCCUUGAUUUUCUGUUUUUAAUAACAACAAAACCAUCACCACUACCACCACUAUGAGCAGCACCAACACUACCAAAUCCACUACUCCCUACUACUGAUAAUAACAAGGCAGUCUGCAUGAUUUCUAUCUUUCAG